AUUGAACGCUGGCGGCAGGCCUAACACAUGCAAGUCGAGCGGAUGAAGGGAGCUUGCUCCUGGCUUCAGCGGCGGACGGGUGAGUAAUGCCUAGGAAUCUGCCUGGUCGUGGGGGAUAACGUCCGGAAACGGGCGCUAAUACCGCAUACGUCCUGAGGGAGAAAGUGGGGGAUCUUCGGACCUCACGCUAUCAGAUGAGCCUAGGUCGGAUUAGCUAGUUGGUGGGGUAAAGGCCUACCAAGGCGACGAUCCGUAACUGGUCUGAGAGGAUGAUCAGUCACACUGGAACUGAGACACGGUCCAGACUCCUACGGGAGGCAGCAGUGGGGAAUAUUGGACAAUGGGCGAAAGCCUGAUCCAGCCAUGCCGCGUGUGUGAAGAAGGUCUUCGGAUUGUAAAGCACUGUAAGUUGGGAGGAAGGGCAGUAAGUUAAUACCUUGCUGUUUUGACGUUACCAACAGAAUAAGCACCGGCUAACUUCGUG
rnacentral:rRNA from 1 species